rnacentral:tRNA from 1 species
GAAUUGUGGCUCAGUGGUAGAACGCUUGCCUAGCACGUGCGAGGCCCUGUGUUCAAUCCUCAGCACCA